rnacentral:rRNA from 1 species
GAUGAACGCUGGCGGCGUGCCUCAAACAUGCAAGUCGAGCGGGGCUAUGUAAUAUCGCAAGGUAGAACAUAGCCUAGCGGCGAACGGGUGAGUAACACGUGGGUAACCUGCCUGGAAGACAGGGAUAACGAUUCGAAAGGGUCGCUAAUACCUGAUAAUAUCCUUUCAUCGCAUGGUGAUAGGAAGAAAGGGGAAACCCGCUUUCAGAUGGGCCCGCGUCCCAUCAGCUAGUUGGUAAGGUAAAGGCUUACCAAGGCGACGACGGGUAGCCGGUCUGAGAGGAUGUACGGCCACACUGGGACUGAGAUACGGCCCAGACUCCUACGGGAGGCAGCAGUUGGGAAUCUUAGGCAAUGGACGAAAGUCUGACCUAGCGACGCCGCGUGAGGGAAGAAGGCCUUCGGUUGUAAACCUCUGUCAUGGGGAAGAAGUAAGUGACGGUACCCAACGAGGAAGCCCCUGCUAACUACGUG